GCCAGUUUGGUGUAAUUGGUAACACGCCUCUUGGGUGCGACUUGCCGAAAGGGCCAGAGGAGUUACAGGUUCGAGUCCUGGCGCUGGCG